UACUCCUACGGGAGGCAGCAGUGGGGAAUAUUGGGCAAUGGGCGAAAGCCUGACCCAGCAACGCCGCGUGAGGGAAGAAGGGUUUCGGCUCGUAAACCUCUGUCCUAUGGGACGAAGAAAGUGACGGUACCAUAGGAGGAAGCCCCGGCUAACUACGUGCCAGCAGCCGCGGUA
rnacentral:rRNA from 1 species